rnacentral:tRNA from 1 species
UAAGGUAAAUAUGGGAGCUUCUAACUCUUUUUAUGGGCAGUUCGAGUCUGUUCGUCCCUUAU